UACGAAGGGGGCUAGCGUUGCUCGGAAUCACUGGGCGUAAAGCGCACGUAGGCGGCUUUUUAAGUCAGGGGUGAAGUCCUGGAGCUCAACUCCAGAACUGCCUUUGAUACUGGGAAGCUCGAGUCCGGAAGAGGUGAGUGGAACUCCGAGUGUAGAGGUGAAAUUCGUAGAUAUUCGGAAGAACACCAGUGGCGAAGGCGGCUCACUGGUCCGGUACUGACGCUGAGGUGCGAAAGCGUGGGGAGCAAACAGG
rnacentral:rRNA from 1 species